AUUGAACGCUGGCGGCAGGCCUAACACAUGCAAGUCGAGCGGAUGAAGGGAUCUUGCUCCUGGAUUCAGCGGUGGACGGGUGAGUAAUGCCUAGGAAUCUGCCUGGUAGUGGGGGAUAACGUCCGGAAACGGGCGCUGAUACCCCAUACGUCCUGAGGGAGAAAGUGGGGGAUCUUCGGAUCUCACGCUAUCAGAUCAGCCUAGGUCGGCUUAGCGAGUUGGUGGGGUAAAGGCCUACCAAGGCGAUGAUCGGUAGCUGGCCUGAGAGGGUGAUCAGUCACACUGGAAGGGAGACACGGUCGAGCCUCCUUCGGGAGGCAGCAGUGGGGAAUAGUGAACAAUGGGCGGAAGCCUGAUCCAGCCAUGGCGCGUGUGUGAAGAAGGUCUUCGGAUUGUAAAGCACUUUCAGUUGGGAGGAAGGGCAGUAAGUUAAUACCUUGCUGUGUUGACGUUACCAACAGAAUAAGCGCCGGCUAACUUCGUG
rnacentral:rRNA from 1 species